AUAUUCACUUCACUUUUUUUUUCUUUUUCCCCCUCAUAUUCGAGAUUAGUCUGCUGUGGUUUAUACAAAUCCCAUUUUGUGAGCUUUCCUAAUCAAUUAUGCAUGAACAAAGAUAUUACCGAAUGCUGAGGAAAUAUGAAAUAAGGAAGACUGAAUGAAUGGUAAGGAAACUUGAAUUGUGUUUGCAAAUGCGGCCAUGUCGAAUGCCACAGGCAAGAUUUUGUUAGAUGAGUGGAGAUAACAAACGGGCGAUACAAAUCUUGUGCGUUCGACCAAUUAAUAUCCAUUUAUCUAAUUGAACUUGUGAUUAAAUAGAUUGAAUUCUUGUUAACCUUGUCGAGGUCUCACUGAAGUUGAUCCCUUUUCUUGGGGAGUGAUUAACACGCAGGGACCAGGGUUCGCGUCUGGAUAUCAGUUUCAAU